GCCGGGGUAGCUCAGUUCGGCAGAGCAGCGCUCUUGUAAAGCGAAGGUCGUGGGUUCGACUCCCAUCCCCGGCU
rnacentral:tRNA from 1 species